AUACGUAGGUGACAAGCGUUAUCCGGAUUUACUGGGCGUAAAGGGCGUGUAGGCGGUCUUGCAAGUCAGAAGUGAAAUUCCUGAGCUCAACUCGGGCGCUGCUUCUGAAACUGCAGGACUUGAGUGCUGGAGGGGAUAGCGGAAUUCCUAGUGGAGCGGUAAAAUGCGCAGAUAUUAGGAAGAACACCGGUGGCGAGGGCGUCUAACAGGACAGUAACGAGCGCUGAGGCGCGAAAGCGGGGGGAUCAAACAGGAUUAGAUACCUUGGUUGCCCACGCCGUAAACGAGGAAUACUAGGUGUAUGGGGUAUCGACUCCCUCUGUGCCGCAGGUAACACGAUAAGUAUUCCGCCUGGGGAGUACGGCCGCAAGAUUGAAACUCAAAGGAAUUGACUGGG
rnacentral:rRNA from 1 species